AGAGUUUGAUCAUGGCUCAGGAUGAACGCUAGCGGCAGGCCUAAUACAUGCAAGCUGAACGGUAAAUAUUGUAGCAAUACAAUAUGAGAGUAGCGUAAGGGUGCGUAACACGUAUGCAAUCUGCCCUGUACAGGAGGAUAGCUCGGCGAAAGCCGGAUUAAUACUUCGUAAUAUUAAUGAGUGGCAUCACUUGAUAAUUAAAGUCGCAAGAUGGUACAGGAUGAGCAUGCGUCUGAUUAGCUAGUUGGUAGUGUAACGGACUACCAAGGCGAUGAUCAGUAGGGGAACUGAGAGGUUGAUCCCCCACACUGGCGCUGAGAUACGGGCCAGACUCCUACGGGAGGCAGCAGUAGGGAAUAUUGGUCAAUGGGUGAGAGCCUGAACCAGCCAUGCCGCGUGCAGGAAGAAGGCCUUCUGGGUUGUAAACUGCUUUUGCCGGGGGAUAAAAUUCCCAUGCGUGGGACAUUGAAGGUACCCGGUGAAUAAGCCACGGCUAACUACGUGCCAGCAGCCGCGGUAAUACGUAGGUGGCAAGCGUUGUCCGGAUUUAUUGGGUUUAAAGGGUGCGUAGGCGGCCUAUUAAGUCAGUGCUGAAAUAUCCCGGCUUAACCGGGAGGGUGGCAUUGAUACUGAUGGGCUUGAGUAGAGUCGAGGUAGGCGGAAUUGACGGUGUAGCGGUGAAAUGCUUAGAUAUCGUCAAGAACACCGAUAGUGUAGACAGUUUACUAGACUCAAACUGACGCUGAGGCACGAAAGUGUGGGGAUCAAACAGGAUUAGAUACCCUGAUAGUCCACACUGUAAACGUUGAUUACUCGCUGUGUGCGAUAUACAGUACGCGGCUUAGCGAAAGCGAUAAGUAAUCCACCUGGGGAGUACGCCCGGCACGGUGAAACUCAAGGAAUUGACGG
rnacentral:rRNA from 1 species